CUUUCCGCCUGUGCAGCUCGCCGGCUCAAUACUCCGGGGGUCUGGGUGGGGGGCUCAAACGCAGGGCUCUGGGACGCAGGCACUGCUCCAGGUGAUAGUGCGGGAACAUGGCCUUGCAGCUGGGCAGGCUGAGCUCGGGCCCCUGCUGGCUCGUGGCGCGGGGCGGCUGCGGAGGGCCCCGCGCCUGGUCCCAGUGCGGCGGCGGAGGGCUCCGAGCCUGGUCCCAGCGCAGCGCAGCCGGACGCGUCUGCCGGCCCCCUGGCCCGGCUGGCACGGAGCAGAGCCGCGGGCUGGGGCACGGCUCGACGUCGAGAGGCGGCCCCUGGGUGGGGACAGGGCUGGCCGCGGCGCUGGCGGGGUUGGUGGGGCUGGCCACCGCCGCCUUCGGGCAUGUGCAGCGGGCGGAGAUGUUGCCUAAGACCUCGGGGACGCGGGCCACUUCGCUGGGGAGGCCGGAGGAGGAGGAGGAUGAGCUGGCCCACCGCUGCAGCAGCUUCAUGGCCCCGCCUGUGACCGACCUGGGCGAGCUGCGAAGGAGGCCGGGCGACAUGAAGACCAAGAUGGAGCUGCUGAUUCUGGAGACCCAGGCCCAGGUGUGCCAGGCUCUGGCACAGGUAGACGGGGGCGCCAACUUUUCUGUGGACCGGUGGGAGAGGAAGGAAGGAGGUGGCGGCAUCAGCUGUGUACUUCAAGAUGGGUGUGUUUUCGAAAAGGCUGGGGUGAGCAUUUCUGUUGUUCAUGGAAAUCUUUCAGAGGAAGCUGCAAAACAAAUGAGAAGCAGAGGAAAAGUUCUGAAGACUAAAGAUGGUAAAUUGCCAUUUUGUGCUAUGGGCGUGAGCUCUGUUAUCCACCCCAAGAAUCCUCAUGCUCCUACUAUCCAUUUCAACUACAGAUACUUUGAAGUAGAAGAAGCUGAUGGCAACAAGCAGUGGUGGUUUGGUGGUGGAUGUGACCUCACUCCAACAUACUUGAAUCAAGAAGACGCUGUCCAUUUUCACAGAACUCUGAAGGAGGCUUGUGACCAGCAUGGUCCAGAUCUCUACCCCAAAUUUAAAAAAUGGUGUGAUGAUUACUUCUUUAUAGCCCAUCGUGGAGAACGGCGGGGCAUUGGUGGUAUCUUUUUUGAUGAUCUUGACUCUCCGUCCAAGGAGGAGGUGUUUCGCUUUGUACAGAGCUGUGCCAGGGCUGUAGUUCCUUCUUACAUUCCCCUUGUGAAAAAGCACUGUGAUGACUCAUUCACCCCCCAGGAGAAGCUGUGGCAGCAGCUCAGAAGAGGACGUUCUUCAAUAACCACGUAUUUCUACUAUGGAUUAGACUAUGUCUGAAAAGAAUUGCAUAACUACUGGAAAACAGAUUAUCCUACUGUUAUUCAAAGUGAAUUUCUCUUUCAAUUUCUUACUGGUGUUAAUUCAGUCUACCUGAAGACCACAGUGCACCUCCAGAUGGCCUGAACACCUAACUGUCUUAUGCAUGCAGGUUCAUGGGAGUGGAGGAGGAGAAAGUAAAGAAAAGCAAGGAAGGAGGGAGAAUGAAAAAGUGCUGGGAGGAAGAAGGAGAAACGAGAGAGAAGAGGUGGAGAACAGGACAGAAAAAGAGGAGAGGCAAAGAAGGAGGGAAAUGAGAAAAUUAUUUGAAAUCUGACUCUUGUUGAACUAUGCUGUUGUUGGACAGAUUAUCUAAAGGAGUUAUUACAUAUUUAAUCAAGCAUGGCUAAUUUGACUAUGCUGUUUAUGUCUUGUCAAAUGUCUCCACUGUGUUUCAUGUCUCACUUUAUGAUUGGGAGAUUCUGAAGUUGGCAAUGUCUACAAUUCCAGUAAUGUUGAAUGUCUAAAUGCUUAGCAUCUGAGUUCCUUGGCCAUCUCUGAACUGCGAGUUGCCUGAGAAAAUGUGAACAUUUUUGUCUGAGAAUGAAUAAUGUUAAUUUGACUCUCAGAGGAAACAUAAUUCUAAAAAGAUUGAGGACUAUUCAUCUAAAUGUGUGUAUUCAAUUUAGAGUUUAUACCCCAGGGGGUGUGUGUGAUUCAGUGAAGACAGGUAGGAAAACAUUUUUAUCAUUUCAAAAGCUCUGUUUGUGUGUAAUUUUAUUAUGUCUACAAUACAUUAAUUUAAUUAUGUGGGUAUUUCACAAAUACACACAUUUUGGGUGUAAAAAAAUCAGCAGCUUGUAAUUGAAAAAUUGCUUAUUCAAAUAGUGUAUACGUUUUUACAAUUUGAUGGACUAAAAAUGAAAGUGGAGAAGAAAGCAGAAUGUCUUGAUAAACCAAAGAAAGAAUAUAAUGACCAUAAAGCUUGGCUUCUUACCUCUGGCCGGAGUUACAGGGCAGGAAGUGAAAGGAUGCUAAUUUCCCAUUGGUUUUAGAGAAAACUAAUGGACACUGUCUAAAGAAAUGGAGAAUGAAGAUGUUAAAUACAGUAUAGUAAAGGUAAUCAGUAGACUAGAAAUAUAAACCAAACUUAAGUGAGAGACUUUAAACUACAAAUUUAGAAAAUAACAAGAACCAUAUGAUAAAGCUAUAGCAAACAUACCCAUCCUAUCAAUCAAUAAAAAAUGGCAUACAUAUCAAUAAAUAAAAGUUUCAUAACAUACUGUUAAAAUAUUUCAAGUGGGACCAUAAAGAAAUAGAUGCUAUAAAAAACAGAUACCUUUAAGACAAAAUACUUCAGAAAGUAAAAAAUGAUAGCUAUACCAGGCAAGUACAAACUUAAAAAAAUGAAGGAGUUAUGAUACUCAUAUCAGCCAUUAUGGAAUUCACAUCUAAAAGCAUAACAUAAGAAAAAGAAGAGUACUUAAAAUGUGAAUGUAAAACGCUAUAAAUAUCAAUGGACCAAAGUACAUAACUAUAUUCACAAGGAGAAAAAAAUCCAGGAGCUAGACUGAUGCACACUUGUAGUUGUUGAAUUAUUUCACUCAGUCCCUGACAGAGCAAGUCAGGGGAAGCACAUUAAAGAUGUAGAAGAUGUAAAUUACAUGAGUAACAAAGUGUCUCUAACUUAUAUAUAUUUUGAACUCUGAACCCUGAAAAUAGAGACAACCCUUCCAAGUACCUAGGGACAUUCAUAAAAAUUGACAAAAUUCUUUUCUAAAUUACAAACUCCAUAAGAAAUUUUAAAAAACAGAAACUAUACUGACAAUAUUCUCUAUAAUACAACAAGACAAAAAUGAACAAGCAAAUAAAAAACUAAAAACUCCAACAUCUUGUAAAUUACAACAGCUUUUUUUCUUAGCCCAGUCUUGGAUCAAAGAGGAAAUAUAAACCAAAAUUACUCAUAUCUAGGAAAUACUGAUAAUAUAAACAAUACCUACUACACCCUAUGAGACAUAACUAAUACAGCGUUUUCUUUUUUUUCUUUUUUCUUUUUUUUUUUGAGACGGAGUCUCGCUCUGUCGCCCAGGCUGGAGUGCAGUGGCGGGAUCUCGGCUCACUGCAAGCUCCGCCUCCCGGGUUCACGCCAUUCUCCUGCCUCAGCCUCCCAAGUAGCUGGGACUACAGGCGCCCGCCACUACGCCCGGCUAAUUUUUUGUAUUUUUAGUAGAGACGGGGUUUCACCGUUUUAGCCGGGAUGGUCUCGAUCUCCUGACCUCGUGAUCCGCCCGCCUCGGCCUCCCAAAGUGCUGGGAUUACAGGCGUGAGCCACCGCGCCCGGCCACAGCGUUUUCUUAAAGCCUUAAAUAUUUAUAUUGAUAAAGAAGGAAAAAUGAAAAUAAACUAUUUCUCAAUCAAGAAAUUUUACAAGACAACCAAGCAAACUGAAGAAAAGGAAAAAGAGAAAUUAGCAGGCAGAAACAAGAUAAGGAUCUUCAGUAUCACUACUAUUAUUCAAUAUUGUAUUAGAGAUGCUAAGCUAAUAAGUUUAGACAAGAGAAAGAAUUAGAAAUACAAAGAUUAGAAAAGAAGAGGUAAAAUUGUAAUGAUAAAAUCUAGAAGCAACCCAAGUUUAAUAAAUGGAAGAAUAGAUAAAUAAAUUCUGGUAUAUUAAUAAAAUGAAAUGCCCUAGACUCAUGUUAUGUGUAUAUAAAUUAUAGAACUGGGAAAAUUAAUAUGGAUGAAUAUCACAGACAUUGAGUGAAGAUAAAAUAACCUGCAGAACAAUACAUGCAAUGUGGUUCCAUUUGUACAAAAUUCAAAAGAUGCAAAGCUAGGCCAUAGGCUAUUUAAAGAUACACAUAAGUGAUAAAACUAAUGAAAAGCUAAUGACAAAUACCAAAUUCAGGUGAAUGGAGAAUGGAACUGAGGCAGGAUUCACAGAUGGCUUCAAAGUUCUUAGUAGUGUUCUACAGCUGGAUUCUGAUAUACAAGUGGCCAUUUCAACAUUUCAAUAUAUUAAUAGGAUAUUUCUUAGUAUCCUCAUAUUUUAUAAAUAUUAAUGUGUAUAUCAAGUAUUUAAUUAAAAUCUUUUAAGCUAUGAUCAGAAAAACUCUUACUCUGAUACUAACAUUCACUUCUGUGGGUUUUCUUGUUGGCAUCCUGAUACAUGUUUCUUUAAAAAUCAAGUAUUUUUCCCACGUAUUUAAAUUAGUGUGUAUGCUUUGUGGAAAUCUUGGAAAAUAAACAAUGGUAUUAAGGA